rnacentral:rRNA from 1 species
GAGGGCAUAACUGUCUCCUGUGGCCAAUCAAUGAAAUUGAACUUACAGUACAAACGCUGUAAUAUAAAUAUAAGACGAGAAGACCCUGUGGAGCUUUAAAUACACCACAUUAACAAAUUUAUCAUUAGCAUAAUGUAAAUUUUAAGUUGGGGCGACUAUGGAGUAAAAUUAAACCUCCAUGUAAUACGACUAAAACUCGUUAUUUGAGGCCUACAAGCCUAACUAAAACAAACGACCCAGUCAAACUGAUCAACGAACCAAGUUACCCCAGGGAUAACAGCGCCAUCCCCUUAAAGAGUCCACAUCGA